UCCUUUGGUUUAUAUAAAAGGUCAGACCUGCCCUAUGAUUUAUUAAAUGGCCGCGGUAUCCUGACCGUGCAAAGGUAGCAUAAUAGAUUGUUUUUUAAUUGAGAACUGGAAUGAAUGGUCAUACGAGAAAUUAGCUUUCUUUAUUUUAUUAUAAUGAAAUUUAUUUUUUUGUGAAAAAGCAAAGAUGUAUUUAUUAGACGAUAAGACCCUAUAAAACUUCAUUGAUUUGUAAAAUUAAGUUGUUUAGUUUUUAAUUUAAAGCUUUUUUUAAUAAAUUAAUUUUGUUGGGGAGACAAGUAAAUAUAUUUAACUUUAUUUUUUUUAUUCAUUAAUUUAUGUAUUUUUUGAUCCAAUUUUGAUGAUUAAAAGAGUAAGUUACUUUAGGGAUAACAGCGUAAUCUCAUUGGAGAGUUCUUAUUGAUAAUGAGGUUUGCGACCUCGAUGUUGGAUUAAAAUUAGUGUAAUAGUGCAGAAGCUUUAUAACUAGGUCUGUUCGACCUUUAAUAUUUUACGUGAUCUGAKU
rnacentral:rRNA from 1 species